GUAGGGAAUAUUGGGCAAUGGAUGCAAGUCUGACCCAGCCAUCCCGCGUGCCGGAAGAAGGCCCUCAGGGUUGUAAACGGCUUUUGACGGUGAAGAAUCGACAGGAUGCGUCCUGUUUUGACGGUAGCCGUUGAAUAAGCACCGGCUAACUCCGUGCCAGCAGCCGCGGUAAUACGGAGGGUGCGAGCGUUGUCCGGAUUUAUUGGGUUUAAAGGGUGCGUAGGCUGGAAGGUCAGUCAGCGGUGAAAAGCUAUCGCUUAACGAUAGUCUUGCCGCAGAUACUUCCUUUCUUGGAUGAGGAGGAGGCCACUGGAACGGAUGGUGUAGCGGUGAAAUGCAUAGAUAUCAUCCAGAACACCGAUUGCGAAGGCAGGUGGCUGUACCUUAAUCGACGCUGAUGCACGAAAGCAUGGGGAGCAAACAGGAUUAGAAACCCCAGUAGUCC
rnacentral:rRNA from 1 species